rnacentral:rRNA from 1 species
UACGAAGGGGGCGAGCGUUGUUCGGAAUUACUGGGCGUAAAGCGCGCGCAGGCGGUUCUUCAAGUCAGUGGUGAAAGCCCGGAGCUCAACUCCGGAACUGCCAUUGAAACUGUAGAACUUGAGGAUGGAGAGAGGUGAGUGAAUUCCCAGUGUAGAGGUGAAAUUCGUAGAUAUUGGGAAGAACACCGGUGGCGAAGGCGGCUCACUGGCUCAUUUCUGACGCUCAGGCGCGACAGCGUGGGGAUCAAACAGG